AAGGCAGGGGAGACAGCUACCCCUUACCUGCUCCUGAUUAGGGAAAACAGCCUGGGAUUUCCUGCUGAUUCCAGAAGUCCUGCAGACAUUGUCCUGCUACUCGGAAGGGCAAUAGUAAAUGCACAGCUUUCAGGUUCAGGCCGAGUCGGGUCUGAAUCCCUGCUUUGCCCAAGCCACCUGCAAGACCUACAGCCAAUAACAAGCAGUUUAUGUGCUGGUGGCAGCCAAGGCACCAGCUUUGAGGAAUGGCUGUCUAGUCACCCUGGGCAGCAGCUGUUUGAUCUCUUGAUUUCACCCAGGUGAUGGUCAAGAAGGACAGGAGGCAGCGUGAGACCAGGGGCAGGCUGUAAGCAGGCACAAGGACUUUGAAGACUGGCUGACCAGCUUGCAGAGGUGCCACCAUGAAGGAAAGUGCUUGAAGGAGUUGGGGGAGCCAAUGUAUGAUGUGGAGCCUGGAAAGUAGCUUCAGGCUGGAUUGCACUGGGAGGACUGGGCAGGAGAGGCAGGGGAGGAGGACCAGCUGUCAGCAGAAGGACCACAAGGGGACAGGGUAGGGUAGCAAGGAUGGAAGAGGUGGGCCUGGGUCAGCUCUUUCCUGGUGUGGACAUGUGUCCCUGCCUCAGCAGACCCGAGGGCAGUGGUAAGAUGUUGGAGAGACCCCUGGCCAGUCACCCUGGGCUACCAGAGACACCCAUCUCACCACCAAGUAGAAAACCAGCCUUCCUUUAGACCUUGAGGAGAAGUUUCUGGGGCCAGAGUCAGGAGAUGUUGUCCCUGUCAAGAGUAAUCAGUCUAUUGCUGUCUGAGGUCAGAACUGUGGAAUUACGUAGGUGACUUUUCACAUUGGCUGCUGAAAACCUUCAAGCCACACGUCGGCCCAAGUGGAAGAAUCGUGGAGGCACGCACAUUUGUUUGAUUUUGAUUAAGUCCUAGAUUUGCUUCAUAUUCCUACUCUGGUCUGUCUUUCUCACUUACACCUUAAAAAUGUUGGAUCUUGUUUCUGAAAUAAAAAGAUGCUUUGAAA